ACUUUACUGUGGCUCAAUUGGUAGAGUAUACCACUAACAACGCUAAGGUUAUGGGUUCACAUCCCAGGGAAAGCA